GAUGAACGCUGGCGGCGUGCCUAAUACAUGCAAGUCGAGCGAACGGACGAGAAGCUUGCUUCUCUGAUGUUAGCGGCGGACGGGUGAGUAACACGUGGAUAACCUACCUAUAAGACUGGGAUAACUUCGGGAAACCGGAGCUAAUACCGGAUGAUAUUUUGAACCGCAUGGUUCAAAAGUGAAAGACGGUCUUGCUGUCACUUAUAGAUGGAUCCGCGCUGCAUUAGCUAGUUGGUAAGGUAACGGCUUACCAAGGCAACGAUGCAUAGCCGACCUGAGAGGGUGAUAGGCCACCCUGGAACUGCGACACGGUCCAGACUCCUACGGGAGGCAGCAGUAGGGAAUCUUCCGCAAUGGGCGAAAGCCUGACGGAGCAACGCCGCGUGAGUGAUGAAGGUCUUCGGAUCGUAAAACUCUGUUAUUAGGGAAGAACAUAUGUGUAAGUAACUGUGCACAUCUUGACGGUACCUAAUCAGAAAGCCACGGCUAACUACGUG
rnacentral:rRNA from 1 species